rnacentral:rRNA from 1 species
UGGAUGUACGGUAACCGACUCUCCCGCGAGUUCACUACGGGUUUGAAAGAUUUCCUCGUAGUGGCUAAUGCGAACAAGCAGAAGGGUUUUGUUAUCUGUCCAUGUGUUGACUGUAAGAAUCAGAAGGGUUACUCUUCCUCAAGAGAAGUUCACCUGCACCUGCUUCGGCACGGUUUCAUGCCAAGCUAUAAUUGUUGGACCAAGCAUGGAGAAAGAGGGGUUAUAAUGGAAGAAGAUGAAGAAGGGGAUGAUUUCAUCGAUGAAAGCUAUCUUGCUCAUUUCGGUGAUACUUUCAUGGAGGAUGCUGAAGGUGAAGGGGAAGGUGAAGGGGAAGGUGAAGGUGAAGAAGAGGCAUGUGAUGAGACCGUUGAUGAUCUUGGUCGGACCAUUGCUGAUGCACGGAGACGCUGCGAAACUGAAAAGGAGAGGGAGAAUUUGGAUCGCAUGUUAGAG